UACGUAGGGCGCAAGCGUUAUCCGGAAUUAUUGGGCGUAAAGAGCUCGUAGGCGGUUUGUUGCGUCGGCUGUGAAAUCCCGAGGCUCAACCUCGGGUCUGCAGUCGAUACGAGCAAACUAGAGUGUUGCAGGGGAGACUGGAAUUCCUGGUGUAGCGGUGAAAUGCGCAGAUAUCAGGAGGAACACCGGUGGCGAAGGCGGGUCUCUGGACAGUUCCUGACGCUGAGGCACGAAGGUCAGGGGAGCAAACGGG
rnacentral:rRNA from 1 species